UCCCAGUGGAGUCUCUCGACUGAAAAAGUGAACGCACUAUCAAGCUACACAUAGUAGUCAAACUUUUCCGCUUUUGGUUUUGGAUCCCCAACGUAUCUUCCAGGUUUAGAGAAAGUGGAGAGCCGGAGCGUUUUCGAGAGCGAGAAAGUGCGGCGGAGCGGAGGGAGGUUCGGGGCCAGAAGUUGCACUCAUUUUUACUAUGGGUUAGACAGUAGGAAAAUCAGUGACGAGCGUUCGAGUUUGCGAAAAUUUGAAGUGAAAUUGGAGAUUCGGGAGCUGAAAUUUGGUUCGGAGAGUGAGAAUUUGUGAGUGUGAGAAGGUUUUCGAGUGGUUGGGUGCAACUAACAGCGUCAUCUCUCCUGCGACAGGUUUUUAACGAUGAAUCAAUCGAGAGGCUCACCUUCGGAUUUGAAGGCCAGCGGCAGCCGCUCCGGUGACUUGGACGGCGAGUCCUCGUCCAGUCCGUUUUAUAUUGCCAGAACUAAGGAUGCUCCGGUCCAUCGCCUCAAGCGCUGGAGGCAUGCGGCACUUGUGCUGAAUGCUUCUCGUCGAUUCCGGUACACCUUAGACUUGAAAAAGGAAGAAGAAAAGCAGCAUACACUAAGGAAGAUUAAAGCACAUGCACAAGCCAUACGAGCUGCAUAUCUUUUCAAGGAAGCUGCAGAUCAACAAGUGAAUGGGAUUGUAGUACCGAAACCAAGUCCUACUGGCGAUUUUCCCAUUGGACAAGAGGAACUAGUUUCAGUGACGAGGGAUCAUAAAUUUGCUGCUCUUCAACAAUAUGGGGGGGUCACAGGCUUAGGGGACUUGUUGAAAACAAAUCUCGACAAGGGAAUUCAUGGAGAUGAUAUUGAUUUACUAAAACGGAAAAAUGCAUUUGGGUCGAACACAUAUCCUCGGAAAAAGCAAGAAGUUUCUGGAGAUUUCUUUGGGUAGCUUGUCAAGAUCUUACUCUGAUCAUAUUGAUGGUAGCUGCAAUGGCUUCUUUAGCGCUGGGUAUAAAAACAGAGGGUACAGAGGAGGGAUGGUCUGAUGGGGGCUGCAUUGCUUUUGCAGUUCUCCUUGUCAUUGUUGUCACAGCCGUUAGUGAUUACAGACAAUCUCUUCAGUUCCAGAAUCUAACUGAGGAAAAGAGAAAUAUACAUUUGGAGGUCAUUAGAGGUGGUAGACGUGUUAAGGUCUCAAUUUAUGAUCUUGUUGUUGGUGAUGUUGUACCCCUUAACAUCGGCGAUCAGGUCCCUGCUGACGGCAUUUUAAUAAUUGGACACUCACUUUUGAUAGAUGAGUCUAGUAUGACUGGAGAGAGCAAGAUUGUACGCAAGAACUCCAAAAAUCCAUUUCUAAUGUCGGGCUGCAAAGUAGCAGUUGGAAAUGGUAGCAUGCUGGUAACCAGUGUUGGGACUAAUACUGAAUGGGGAAUGCUCAUGGCUAGUAUUUCAGAAGAUACUGGUGAAGAAACUCCUUUGCAGGUGCGCUUAAACGGGGUUGCAACUUCCAUUGGUAUUGUUGGACUCACAGUGGCUUUACCUGUCUUGAUAGUCCUAUUGUUUAGUUACUUUAGUGGCCAUACAAAAAAUGCAAAUGGAAUCCCUCAGUUUCAAGUGGGAAAGACAAAAUUUGGAGAUGGCAUAGAUGGGGCCAUUAAAAUUGUUAUUAUUGCGGUGACCAUUGUCGUGGCUGGUGUUCCUGAAGGGCUCCCAUUAUCUGUUACCUUGACGCUUGCCUACUCGAUGAGAAAAUUGAUGGCAGAUAAGGCCUUGGUGCGGAGGCUGUCUGCAUGUGAAACCAUGGGCUUUGCAACCGCUAUAUGCUGCGACAAGACUGGAACCUUAACAUUGAACCAGAUGACUGUUGUUGAGGCUUUUACUGGUGGGAGGAAAAUCGAUCUCUCUGGCAGUAAGUCAGACGUGUCUCCAAUACUAUCAUCUUUGCUUAUUGAAGGCAUUUCAUUGAAUACAAAUGGCAGUGUAUAUACGUCUGAGACUGGCGGUGAUAUAGAGGUUUCUGGAUCACCAACUGAAAAGGCAAUUCUGCAAUUGGGAAUCAAGCUCGGAAUGAAUUUUGAUGCCAUCAGGUCCAAGUCUUCAAUUCUUCACGUGUUCCCAUUCAACUCAGAGAAAAAACGAGGUGGUGCUGCAGUUAAAUUGCCCAAUACCGAAGUUCAUAUUCACUGGAAAGGGGCUGCUGAAAUAGUCUUGGCCUGUUGUACAAAGUACCUGGAUCCUAAUGACCAGUUAGCAGCUAUGGAUGAAGACAAGUCAACCAUGUUCAGGAAGUCAAUUGAGGAUAUGGCUGCCCGCAGUUUGCGUUGUGUUGCCAUUGCUUAUAGACCACAUGAAUUGGAAAAUGUUCCAGCUGAUGAACAACUAUCUGAGUGGGCAUUGCCUGAUGAUGAUCUUGUCUUGCUUGCAAUUGUUGGUAUAAAGGAUCCUUGUCGGCCUGGGGUGGGAGAUGCAGUGCGACUAUGCCAAAAAGCUGGUGUUAAGGUAAUCAUGGUCACAGGUGACAAUCUUCAAACUGCGAAAGCGAUUGCUAUGGAAUGUGGCAUACUUGCUCCAGAUUCAGAUGCUACCCAGCCAACUCUCAUUGAAGGAACAGCUUUCCGUGAACUUUCAGAUAAGCAGAGAGAAGAUUGUGCUGAAAAGAUUUCGGUGAUGGGGCGGUCUUCCCACAAUGACAAGCUUCUGCUUGUGCAAGCAUUGAGGAGAAGGGGUCAUGUUGUUGCUGUAACUGGAGAUGGCACUAAUGAUGCUCCUGCACUGCGCGAGGCUGACAUUGGUCUUGCAAUGGGUAUUCAAGGGACUGAAGUUGCCAAAGAGAAUUCAGAUAUCAUUAUCUUGGACGAUAAUUUUGCUUCAGUUGUGAAGGUUGUUAGAUGGGGUCGAUCUAUAUACGAAGGUAUUCAGAAAUUCACCCAAUUCCAUCUUACUACACUCAAUGUUGCAGCAGUAACUAUAAAUGCCGUGGCAGCCAUUUCAUCUGGUGAUGUACCGCUAAAUGCUGUUCAGGUUCUGUGGGUGAAUCUUAUCAUGGAUACUGUUGGAGUACUAGCAUUGGCUACGGAGCCACCUACAGAUCACUUGAUGGACAGACCCCCUGUUGGUCAAAGAGAGCCGCUCAUAACAAAUAUAAUGUGGAGGAACUUGUUGGUUCAGGCUUUCUACCAAGUCACUGUCCUACUUGUCCUCAACUUCCGAGGAAUAAGUAUACUGAAGCUACAUGGUCCCAAUGCUAACACAGUGAAAAAUACUCUGAUAUUCAAUACAUUUGUCCUAUGUCAAAUUUUCAAUGAAUUCAUUGCUCAAAAUCCUGAUGAGUUCAAUAUAUUCAAAGGGAUCACCAAGAACUACCUUUUUAUAGGAAUAGUGACAGUAACUCUUGUACUUCAGAUUAUCAUCGUCGAGUUCCUUGGGAAAUUCACUAAAACAAAACCACUUAAUUGGAAUCUUUGGCUGAUUUCAGCUGUAAUAGCUUUUAUCAGUUGGCCUCUUGCUGUUCUUGGGAAACUGAUUCCGGUUCCAGAAACCCCUCUCUUCAAGAAUUUUACAAGAAUGAUCCCUGGGCGAAGAAACAGUCCAGAGGCUGCAUAUCUUUUCAAGGAAGCUGCAGAUCAACAAGUGAAUGGGAUUGUAGUACCGAAACCAAGUCCUACUGGCGAUUUUCCCAUUGGACAAGAGGAACUAGUUUCAGUGACGAGGGAUCAUAAAUUUGCUGCUCUUCAACAAUAUGGGGGGGUCACAGGCUUAGGGGACUUGUUGAAAACAAAUCUCGACAAGGGAAUUCAUGGAGAUGAUAUUGAUUUACUAAAACGGAAAAAUGCAUUUGGGUCGAACACAUAUCCUCGGAAAAAAGCAAGAAGUUUCUGGAGAUUUCUUUGGGUAGCUUGUCAAGAUCUUACUCUGAUCAUAUUGAUGGUAGCUGCAAUGGCUUCUUUAGCGCUGGGUAUAAAAACAGAGGGUAUAGAGGAGGGAUGGUAUGAUGGAGGCAGCAUUGCUUUUGCACUUCUCCUUGUCAUUGUUGUCACAGCGGUUAGUGAUUACAGACAAUCUCUUAAGUUCCAGAAUCUAAAUGAGGAAAAGAGAAAUAUACAUUUGGAGGUCAUUAGAGGUGGUAGACGUGUUGAGGUCUCAAUUUAUGAUCUUGUUGUUGGUGAUGUUGCACCCCUUAACAUCGGCGAUCAGGUCCCUGCUGAUGGCAUUUUAAUAACUGGACACUCACUUGCCAUAGAUGAGUCUAGUAUGACUGGAGAGAGCAAGAUUGUACGCAAGGACUCCAAAAAUCCAUUUCUAAUGUCAGGCUGCAAAGUAGCAGAUGGAAAUGGUAGCAUGCUGGUAACCAGUGUUGGGACUAAUACUGAAUGGGGAAUGCUCAUGGCUAGUAUUUCAGAAGAUACUGGUGAGGAAACUCCUUUGCAGGUGCGCUUAAACGGGGUUGCAACUUUCAUUGGUAUUGUUGGACUCACAGUGGCUUUACUUGUCUUGAUAGUCCUGUUGGUUAGAUACUUUACUGGCCAUACAAAAAAUGCAAAUGGAAGCCCUCAGUUUAAAGCGGGAAAGACAAAAUUUGGAGAUGCCAUAGAUGGAGCCAUUAAAAUUGUUACUAUUGCGGUCACCAUUGUGGUGGUUGCUGUUCCUGAAGGGCUCCCAUUAGCUGUUACCUUGACGCUUGCCUACUCGAUGAGAAAAAUGAUGGCAGAUAAGGCCUUGGUGCGGAGGCUGUCUGCAUGUGAAACCAUGGGCUCUGCAACUACCAUAUGCAGCGACAAGACUGGAACCUUAACAUUGAACCAGAUGACUGUUGUUGAGGCUUUUACUGGUGGGAGGAAAAUCGAUCUCUCUGGCAGUAAGUCAGACGUGUCUCCAAUACUAUCAUCUUUUGCUUAUUGAAGGCAUUGCGUUGAAUACAAAUGGCAGUGUCUAUACGCCUGAGACUGGCGGUGAUAUAGAGGUUUCUGGAUCACCAACUGAAAAGGCAAUUCUGCAAUUGGGAAUCAAGCUCGGAAUGAAUUUUGAUGCCAUCAGGUCCAAGUCUUCAAUUCUUCACGUGUUCCCAUUCAACUCAGAGAAAAAAACGAGGCGGUGCUGCAGUUAAAUUGCCCAAUACCGAAGUUCAUAUUCAAUGGAAAGGGGCUGCUGAAAUAGUCUUGGCCUGUUGUACAAAGUACCUGGAUCCUAAUGACCAGUUAGUAGCUAUGGAUGAAGACAAGUCAACCAUGUUCAGGAAGUCAAUUGAGGAUAUGGCUGCUCGCAGUUUGCGUUGUGUUGCCAUUGCUUAUAGACCACAUGAAUUGGAAAAUGUUCCAGCUGAUGAACAACUAUCUGAGUGGGCAUUGCCUGAUGAUGACCUUGUCUUGCUUGCUAUUGUUGGUAUAAAGGAUCCUUGUCGGCCUGGGGUGGGAGAUGCAGUGCGACUAUGCCAAAAAGCUGGUGUUAAGGUACGCAUGGUCACAGGUGACAAUCUUCAAACUGCGAAAGCGAUUGCUAUGGAAUGUGGCAUACUUGCUCCAGAUUCAGAUGCUAACCAGCCAACUCUCAUUGAAGGAACAGCUUUCCGUGAACUUUCAGAUAAGCAGAGAGAAGAUUGUGCUGAAAAGAUUUCGGUGAUGGGGCGGUCUUCCCCCAAUGACAAGCUUCUGCUUGUGCAAGCAUUGAGGAGAAGGGGUCAUGUUGUUGCUGUAACUGGAGAUGGCACUAAUGAUGCUCCUGCACUGCACGAGGCUGACAUCGGUCUUGCAAUGGGUAUUCAAGGGACUGAAGUUGCCAAAGAGAGUUCAGAUAUCAUUAUCUUGGACGAUAAUUUUGCUUCAGUUGUGAAGGUUGUUAGAUGGGGUCGAUCUGUAUAUGCAAAUAUUCAGAAAUUCAUCCAAUUCCAGCUUACAGUAAAUGUAGCAGCACUAAUUAUAAAUGUCGUCGCAGCCAUUUCAUCUGGUGAUGUACCGCUAAAUGCUGUUCAGCUUCUGUGGGUGAAUCUUAUCAUGGAUACUCUUGGAGCACUAGCAUUAGCUACGGAGCCACCUACAGAUCACUUGAUGGACAGACCCCCUGUUGGUCGAAGAGAGCCGCUCAUAACAAAUAUAAUGUGGAGGAACUUGUUGGUUCAGGCUUUCUACCAAGUCACUGUCCUACUUGUCUUCAACUUCCGAGGAAUAAGUAUACUGAAGCUACAUGGUCCCAAUGCUAACACAGUGAAGAAUACUCUGAUAUUCAAUACAUUUGUCCUAUGUCAGAUUUUCAAUGAAUUCAAUGCUCGAAAGCCUGAUGAGUUCAAUAUAUUCAAAGGGAUCACCAAGAACUACCUUUUUAUAGGAAUAGUGACAGUAACUCUUGUACUUCAGAUUAUCAUCGUCGAGUUCCUUGGGAAGUUCACUAAAACAAAACCACUUACUUGGAAUCUUUGGCUAAUUUCAGCUGUAAUAGCUUUUAUCAGUUGGCCUCUUGCUGUUCUCGGGAAGCUGAUUCCGGUUCCAGAAACUCCUCUCUUCAAGUAUUUUACAAGAAUGAUCCCUGGGCGAAGAAACAGUCCAGAGGGUAGUCGGUAGGAAGUGUGAAGAUAUACCGCACUUACAGCAGCUGGUUUCAUAGUUUUCUGGAUCUGCAUCAUUCUCUUUUUCGGUUUUUGGCUGUGACAGAUCAUAUUUCACAGAAUCCACAAACUAAUCUUUUGUUAAGUAGGGAAUGUACUUGCAGCGAUUCGGCUUUACAGAAGCCAUACUUGGUUUGGUCUCCACUGACCGGAAUUUUACUUGUGCAGUUUAUGUACUUAAAGACUGAUUUGGGGUUUUACAGUU